rnacentral:rRNA from 1 species
UGGGGAAUCUUGCACAAUGGGCGAAAGCCUGAUGCAGCAACGCCGCGUGGGGGAUGACUGCCCUCGGGUUGUAAACCCCUUUCAGCAGGGACGAAACUGACGGUACCUGCAGAAGAAGCCCCGGCCAACUACGUGCCAGCAGCCGCGGUAAGACGUAGGGGGCGAGCGUUGUCCGGAUUUAUUGGGCGUAAAGGGCUCGUAGGCGGUUUGGCAAGUCGGAUGUGAAACCUCCAGGCUUAACCUGGAGACGCCAUUCGAUACUGCUAUGACUUGAGUUCGGUAGGGGCGCAUGGAAUACCCGGUGUAGCGGUGAAAUGCUUAGAUAUCGGGUGGAACACCAGUGGCGAAGGCGGUGCGCUGGGCCGAAACUGACGCUGAUGAGCGAAAGCGUGGGUAGCAAACAGG